rnacentral:lncRNA from 1 species
CAAAAUCCAUUGAGUUUGAUGAGACUUGAAGUCCAAACCAUCAUGAUCCAAGACCAACAGAACUUCACAAGGUCACACAAAUAUAAAGUGCAAUUAAAUGAAAUAAAAAUGCAUCAAAGAUAUUUUUAAAUGAUUUUUUAAAUAGAAAUAAAAUGGAAAUUUCAUAAAGUCUUUCAAAAUACCAAAUAAUGGCCGAGAAAAUUAUGGAAGGUUGGAAAUUAAAUAAGAAACAUAUAAUAAAAUUUUCUGAAUUUUAAAAUGCAGAAAAGUAUUUU